rnacentral:piRNA from 1 species
UACUGGUUGUGAAAUUGAAAA